GACGAACGCUGGCGGCGUGCUUAACACAUGCAAGUCGAACGAAGAGCGAUGGAAGCUUGCUUCUAUCAAUCUUAGUGGCGAACGGGUGAGUAACGCGUAAUCAACCUGCCCUUCAGAGGGGGACAACAGUUGGAAACGACUGCUAAUACCGCAUACGAUCUAAUCUCGGCAUCGAGGAUAGAUGAAAGGUGGCCUCUACAUGUAAGCUAUCACUGAAGGAGGGGAUUGCGUCUGAUUAGCUAGUUGGAGGGGUAACGGCCCACCAAGGCGAUGAUCAGUAGCCGGUCUGAGAGGAUGAACGGCCACAUUGGGACUGAGACACGGCCCAGACUCCUACGGGAGGCAGCAGUGGGGAAUCUUCCGCAAUGGACGGAAGUCUGACGGAGCAACGCCGCGUGAGUGAUGACGGCCUUCGGGUUGUAAAGCUCUGUUAAUCGGGACGAAAGGCCUUCUUGCGAAUAGUGAGAAGGAUUGACGGUACCGGAAUAGAAAGCCACGGCUAACUACGCG
rnacentral:rRNA from 1 species